AGUAACUGUGGAGCUUGCAGAAGACAUGGUGUCCAGCCCCUUGUGUCAGAUCACCCUGAGAGAGAGAUCCCUGGUGUCUGAGUGGGACCAGCUCCAUUCACAAUGGGACAAGACUGAUUUAAACUGCAGAAGGGCUGAUUUUCUGCUGGCUUGGCCUGGACUGGAGCUGCUCAGGGUCUGCCAUCACUAAAAUCCAGAGUCCCAGCUGACACCACAGCAGGGACACCACCACAGCUGCCAUGGACUCAUCCUGCAGACGUUUUACAGCCUGAUGAGAGGUGGAUUUGUCUCUUCCAUCUGCUAAGAAUCCAGCUUAAGUGUGAGAGGAGGCUGCUGGUUUGCUCAGCUGGCCCUGCAUGACUGGGGUUUCACAUAUGUCCCCUUCUCAUGGGACUUCCAAAUGGAUGCCUAAGGCACUGCUGCCUCUCACUUUGAAGUUAUCAUCUCUGUUUCUCCUCUUUCAGCUCAACAGAGUUUUUUGGCAUUUCAGUGUGCAGUUGCUAAGUAGAGGCAUGGCCAAGAAGUCAGAACACCAGCAGUACCUUCAAAAUGACACUUCUGUACCUGUAAGAGCUGCUCAUGCUGCUCUUUUCACUCAGACUAGAACUGGGUUUCAAGCUCCCUGCAGUUCUCAGAGGUGCAGCCUGCUGUCUGGCCUCGUGGGCAUUCUUCAUCUCAUUUGUUUUCCUGCACUCACUGGCAGUACUUGCACCACCUUCUUCAUUUGCAGUGGGGUGAAGCUACUGCCUGAUUUAUCAGAGAUUCAGCAGGACCAGUACCUGUAUACAGAAAUGACAAGGAAAAGCUCCUGAAAAGGACACCACGGACCAGAGGAAUCCUGGACCCUGUGAGAGCUGCAUAAGUCCAGACCAUGGGAUUUCUCUGGCAGAAUUCCACAUGUGGGACCAGAUCCUCAGACAUCUCCUUGGGACUGUUGUUUGUUUUUAUCAGAGCAAGGCUGGGUGCUGUUUCCUCCCCAAAACUCUCAAGAGGCUGUUUCCUCUCCAGCUUUUUGUUUAUUUAAGGAAUCUCAGAGGCUGAAUUUCUCCUGAAAUAAUGCAGAUGAAGGAUUGGUGACUUCUCCAAACAGGUUUGGUGUAUGGAUCAUUUU